UUAAUUCUCGCGCUUCGGCCAGAAUCAGAUUCUAAUAGUGAAUCCACGCGAUCUGUCGCUUCGGUCAGAACCCGAUUCGGAUAACGAAUCCACGCAUUCUGUUGCUUCGACCAGAAUCAGAUUCUAAUAGUGAAUCCACGCAUUCUGUCUCUUCGGCCAGAAUCCACACAGCAAAAGUCGCUCUUGAUCAGAGUAGGACUAUAAACAUGUAGUUCCAUUGGCCUAGAACUAGAUUCUGAUAGUGAAUCAGUCCAUCUGAUAGUGCAUGGACCACGCGGAGUCAUUAGUGUCGCUGUGAGCACAAUGACUCAAUCCCAUCUUGUCACUUCCUGCCUUGAUGGGGACUACCUUACUCGGGGGGGGGAUACUGAGGCUACACGGGUGUUUUGCCAUGCUCUCUUCAGGAGGAGUACUGGUGAGACAUGCUUGAUCACGUCAGUCACUCCCAGCAACGCCCUUCGACAAGGACUAGGGUUCCGUCGCUUUAUGCCAGACCCCCGGAGAGUUCCACGAAUUCGGAAGG
rnacentral:lncRNA from 1 species